GGUCUUGUGGUCUAGUGGUAUGAUUCUCGGUAAGACUAGCUCCCCACAAUUAAUCUUAAAUAUAACACUAACAAUCAACCAGCUUAGGGUGUACCCUGAGUAUAAAUUGCGAGAGGCCCCGCGUUCGAGUCGCGGCAAGACCC